rfam:Tupaia chinensis contig41862, whole genome shotgun sequence.
AUGCUCACUUUGGCAGUACAGACACUAAAAUUGGAGUGAUACGAAAGGAAUUAGCAGAGUCCCUCUGAAAGGAUGAUAUGAAAAUUUGUAAAACUUUCCUUAUUUUU